rnacentral:rRNA from 1 species
UACAGAGGUCCCAAGCGUUGUUCGGAUUCAUUGGGCGUAAAGGGUGCGUAGGCGGCGCGGUAAGUCGGGUGUGAAAUCUCGGGGCUUAACUCCGAAACUGCAUUCGAUACUGCCGUGCUUGAGGACUGGAGAGGAGACUGGAAUUUACGGUGUAGCGGUGAAAUGCGUAGAUGUCGGGAGGAACACCUGUGGCGAAGGCGGCCACCUGGUUGGAUACUGACGCUGAGACGCGAAAGUGUGGGGAGCGAACAGG